GAUGCACGCUGGCGGCGUGCCUAAUACAUGCAAGUCGAGCGAAGCGGGGACUGGUGAGUAACACGUGGAUAACCUCCUAUACGACUGGGAUAACUUCGGGAAACCGGCGCUAAAACGGAUACUUAUAGAUGGGUCCGCGUUUCAUUAGCUAGUUGGUAAGGUAACGGCUUACCAAGCCAACGAUGCAUCGCCGACCUGCUAGGGUGAUCGGCCACACUGGAACUGAGACACGGCCCAGACGCCGACGGGAGGCAGCAGUAGGGAAUCUUCCGCAAUGUGCGAAAGCCUAACGGAGCAACGCCGCGUGAGUGAUGAAGGUCUUCGGAUCGUAAAACUCUGUUAUUAGGGAAGCGGUACCUAAUCAGAAAGCCACGGCUAACUACGUGCCAGCAGCCGCGGUAAUUC
rnacentral:rRNA from 1 species